GAUGAACGUUGGCGGUGUGCCUAAUACAUGCAAGUCGAACGGAGACUGUAGCAAUACUGUCUUAGUGGCGAACGGGUGAGUAACGCGUUGGUGAUCUGCCUCGAAGUGUGGAAUAACCUCCCGAAAGGGAAGCUAAUACCGCAUAGUCUCUCAAGGUUUAGAAAAUUGAGAGUAAAGGAUUUAUUCGCUUCGAGAGGAGCCUGCGUCCCAUCAGCUAGUUGGUAGGGUAACGGCCUACCAAGGCAAUGACGGGUAGGGGACCUGAGAGGGUGGCCCCCACAAUGGAACUGAAACACGGUCCAUACACCUACGGGUGGCAGCAGUAGGGAAUAUUAGUAAUGGGCGAAAGCCUGAACUAGCGACACCGCGUGUGCGAAGAAGGCCUUCGGGUUGUAAAGCACUUUUAGAGAGGAUGAGGAAGGACGGUACGUCUCUGAAUAAGUCUCGGCUAACUACGUG
rnacentral:rRNA from 1 species